AGUGAACGCUGGCGAUAGGCCUAACACAUGCAAGUCGAACGGCAGCGCAGUAAGAGCUUGCUCUUACGGGUGGCGAGUGGCGGACGGGUGAGGAAUACAUCGGAAUCUACUUUUUCGUGGGGGAUAACGUAGGGAAACUUACGCUAAUACCGCAUACGACCUACGGGUGAAAGCAGGGGAUCUUCGGACCUUGCGCGAUUGAAUAAGCCGAUGUCGGAUUAGCUAGUUGGCGGGGUAAAGGCCCACCAAGGCGACGAUCCGUAGCUGGUCUGAGAGGAUGAUCAGCCACACUGGAACUGAGACACGGUCCAGACUCCUACGGGAGGCAGCAGUGGGGAAUAUUGGACAAAGGGCGCAAGCCUGAUCCAGCCAUACCGCGUGGGUGAAGAAGGCCUUCGGGUUGUAAAGCCCUUUUGUUGGGAAAGAAAAGCAGCAGGUUAAUACCCCGCUGUUCUGACGGUACCCAAAGAAUAAGCACCGGCUAACUUCGUG
rnacentral:rRNA from 1 species